UACAGAGGUGGCAAGCGUUGUUCGGAAUUACUGGGCGUAAAGGGCGCGUAGGCGGUCUUUUAAGUCUUGUGUGAAAUCCCUCGGCUCAACUGAGGAACUGCACGGGAUACUGGAAGACUUGAGUUCGGGAGAGGGAAGCGGAAUUCCGGGUGUAGCGGUGAAAUGCGUAGAUAUCCGGAGGAACACCAAUGGCGAAGGCAGCUCGCUGGGACGGUACUGACGCUGAGACGCGAAAGCGUGGGGAGCAAACAGGG
rnacentral:rRNA from 1 species